UCACCACCAAGGCCUGCCCUACAUCUACAGAGAGCCUCAAACAGAACUGCCGCCGCCGCCGCCGCCGCGUCCUCCUCCCGUGCGCGCUCACACAUCUCAAAAAGGGCGGCAGACGCAGAACAGAAGUCCCACCGAGUCGCCGAUGGCUGACGCGGCGGCGCAGGACACCACCGACACCGAGCAGGGGCUGCUCCACCUGAAGCUCGCGUUCCUCGCCGGGGAGCCUCCCGCCUGCGUCCUAGCACUCGCCAGGUAGAGAGAUGCCAAGACUAUACUUAUACAACAAUUAUCUUUAAAAAGAUUAUAUCUGAGGUUGAACUAUCUUCAAAUGUUGUGAUUGAUGAACUUUAUGAGGAAUUUGCCCAACAAGGAUUCAUUAUUAAACAAGACAGAUCAUAUUUAUAAAGAAAUAUCUUUUCUCUCUUCUACAGCUAGUAACAUUUCUUCAAAGCUAGUAAGUGUCGUUGCUCGACUAUCAUGUUCUUCUAAUAUGCUUGAAGGUGAUACAGGGUGUGCUCUUUGGCCAUCAAGUCUAUUCUUGUCUGAAUUUAUUCUUUCAUAUCCUAAAAUUUUCUCCUCGAAGUGUUGCUUUGAGGUAAGUGAUUAAUUUUAUUAUUAGUGUGAGAUACAUUACCAGUAUGACCUCAUGUAAGAAAGUUUAUGUAAAUAUGUUUAGCUCAUGCUCCAAUAAUUAAGUUCUAUCAAAUAUUCAAAUAAUAAUGCAAAUUUAUUUCGUACAUUUUUGUUUGUUAUAUAACUAGAAUUUAAUAGGAUGGUCAAUAUUUGUGUAAGGCCUUGUUUAGUUCCCAAAAAAUUUUGUAAAAUUUUUCAGAUUCCCCGUCACAUUAAAUCUUUAGACGCAUGCAUGGAGUAUUAAAUAUAGACGAAAAUAAAAACUAAUUGCACAGUUUGGUCGAAAUUGACGAGACGAAUACUUUGAGCCUAGUUAGUCCAUGAUUGGACAAUAUUUGUCAAAUACAAACGAAAGUGCUACAGUGUCGAUUUCCCAAAAAAUUUUGGAACUAAACAAGGCCUAAGUAUCGUUAUAUGCUCUGUGCAUCAUGAUUUGAUCCAGUAUUUGUGAACAUGUGUUAAAAUUAUGUAUCCUCAUGAAACUAAUUUCUUAUUCCUUUCAUAAUUUAUAGUAGUAUAGACUACAUGAUAUCUCUGGCCAGCUACCUAAGACACUUGUUUAUGUGCAAAAUUACCUAAAUAUUUUUCUUUGCACAAAUAGUUAGGUGGUGGGUGUUUUCUGUUUUUCUUUGCACUUGAGGAAUAUUCUCAGAAUUUGUUGUGGUUAUUGCUCUAACGUUUGCAUGACAAGCAGCUAGGUUCCGGUGUAGGUUUGGUGGGCAUUUGUCUUAAUUCUGUCGGUGCCUCUAAGGUAUGCAAGUCUAUUAUGCCACUCUCCAUUUGAAUGUCAUAUCUUCCAUGGGUGAAAAGGUGAAUCAUGUAUGAUUUCCUAACUUUGUGAAGUGGGUGCUUAUGUACUAUUUAACUGCUUAAUUUGGAGCUAAGGGCGGUAUUUAAGCAUGAAUUGUUCAGUUCGAUUAUGUUCACAAGUUUCUUCAGAAAUCAAAAGAUUAAUUAUAAUUGUAAUAUAUGUCAUGCGGAAUUAAUUUAUAUGCAGGUUAUUCUUACUGAUGGUGACCCAUGUACACUCAGAAACAUGAAGGAAAAUAUGGAACUGAAUAACUUAUGCAUUGAGCAGGAAGAUUCUAGUGUGCUAAAAGAAAGCAAGAAUAAGGUAGAGUGCAAAUAUCUUUCUUGGGAAGAAGUGUGUGAAAGCGAUUUAUGGGGCUACCAGCCAGACAUAGUUCUUGGCGCAGAUAUUAUUUACGAUCCGGUUUGUGUGCCACACCUUGUUCGAGUACUCUCAGUGCUGUUAAGACGAGACCGUAGACAAGGGAAAGCCAACGCAACAUCUGGCGAUGAAUUUGAAACGGAGGCUCCGGUCGCCUAUAUUGCCACGGUGGUUCGAAAUCCAGAGACUUUCAAUUGCUUUGCCACAGCAGCUGCCGACACAAAGUUGUCUGUUUUGAAUAUAACCAGUACUGCGGCUCCUUCAAAAUUUCUCCCUUACAUGCUAUCUUAUGAUAGAUCCAGUGUGCAGCUUCUUAAAGUUACAUCGUUAUUCUAGAACAUCGACGACACAAAGUUGUCUGUUUUGAAUAUAACCAGUACUGCGGCUCCUUCAAAAUUUCUCCCUUACAUGCUAUCUUAUGAUAGAUCCAGUGUGCAGCUUCUUAAAGUUACAUCGUUAUUCUAGAACAUCGACAACAGUUGCUGUGCUUCACGUAUUUGUCAUUACGAAUGUCAUUGUAAGGACAUCAAGCAUAUCAUUUGCAUUUCGUAUGCUUACAGUUAUUUGUU